rnacentral:lncRNA from 10 species
CUAACUUGACUACAAACCAUGUAAGUCCAUUUUUAUGCCAUUCUAGAAAAAGGUAGAACUAUAAGAAUGCACAGUUCUAUGGUUGCUAGGAGUUAGGAGUAGGGAGACUGAUCAACUACAAUGAAACCACACAAGAAAAAGUCUUGGGUUGAUGGUGCUGUUCUGUAUUUUUAUUAUGGUUGUGAUUACAUAACACUAUGUACUUAUCAGAAUUUAUAAAACUACACAAAAUCGGUAAAUUUUACAGUAGGUAAAAUUUUAAAAUUGCAUCUUCUUAGCAGUACCUGCUCUUUCAUAAGUUUUCUAGCUCCAUCUUCUUUUCCAUUUAUUCACUGAAAAAGUAAUUAUUAGUGGCUACAAGUUGCCAUACAUUGGAAUUAGAGAUAAACAUUAAAAAACAAGAUGAAAAUAUGUUUGCUUUCAUGGAGCUUACUAUCCACUCAGAGGAAAUAGGAGUUACGAAGGAAAAUGUAUAAUGUCGUCUGAUGAUACAGGGAUAUUAUAACCAAUUAAUGGAAAGAAACAUUUAAGACAACACCUUCCUCUAUGUUUACAUCAGGAUGCAUUUUUGUAAUUGAAGAUGGAGUCUUCCUAUGUUGCCCAGUCUGAACUUGAACUCGUGAACUCAAGCAAUCAUCCUACCUCAGCCUUCCAAGCAGCUGGGAAUAAAAAAGUCCACCACCACGUCUCGCAGCAGUUCCUCCGCAUCAAGAAUCUGGCAAAUUUAUCUUGGACCUCUUCUUCACGGUGUCUCACAGGCUGCAAGCAAGUUGUUGGCUGGGUUUUGGCCAUCUCAAAUCUCAACUGGGUAAAGAUUUGCUUCCAAUAUCACACAGUUAAUGGCAGGAUUCGGUUCUUCACAAGUCAUUGAACUGAAGACCUCAAUUAUUUGCUAUUGGCCACAGGCUGCCCUCGGUUUAUUGCCACAUGGGCUUCUCCAGCAAGGCAAAAACACACAUGCUGAGAAGGCAAUAGAGAGAGCCUACUAGCAAGACAGAAGUCUUUUAAAACCUAAUCGUGGAAAAUGACAUUCCGCAACUUUUGCUAUAUUCUGCUUAUUAGAAAAGAGGCAGGAAUACCAGGAGAUAGGGAUCAUUGGAACUGAUAUUAAAUGACUAUCAAAGUUCACCCUCUGGCCUCUAACGAUUUUUUAUUUCCCUACCAAAUGUGAAAUAACUCCUCUCAAGGUUCUCAGACGUCUCAUUCCAUUAUAACAUCAACUUGAAGUAUAGAAUCCUCAUCGUUAAAAUCAGCUCUCACUCUUUGUUCAGUGUCUCUCAACCUGUGACCUGUGACUAUUCAGACCAGCCCCAUGACACCUAUUUAUGCCAUAUGGAGAAAAGCACCACCUAGAAAAGCCUUCCCAAAUUCCUGAACCUCAAGUGUGCAG